GCCUAUUGUUAGGCACCAGCUCAAGCAAUCAGGCUUUCUUUGUAUUAGCUGAAAAACAAGGAAAUCGCACAUCCACGCCUAACUGCCUCACACCUGUGCUUGCAAAAGUGGCAGAAGCACUGAGCAUCUUGUGACUAAUCUGGAAAAUUGUCUACUUCAAGCAAAGUGACUUUCAGUGUUUCAGAUCUCCCUCUUCUCCCACCCUCAUGGAAGCUUUGCUUCUUUUCAUCUUAUAGUCAAAUACUGAUCCACUCGACCUGUCCUCGAGGUUUUGAUUAACACAGAAGAUUGCCACGCCGAAGGUGCAGCUUUUCUUAUGGAGAUAGCAGAGACACAAGAGACCAAGCUCAACUACACAAGCAUAUUUCAUGUCUCUGCUUACGUCACAUCUGUCAUUAUCCCAUUGGCCAAGGAUCAAAAAUUUAUGAUUUAGAGGAGCCAAGAUGGCCGAAUAGGAACAGCUCCGGUCUACAGCUCCCAGCGUGAGCGACGCAGAAGACGGUGAUUUCAGCAUUUCCAUCUGAGGCUGGAGUGCAAUGGCGUGAUCUCGGCUCACCGCAACCUCUGCCUCCCAGGUUCAAGCGAUUCUCCUGCCUCAGCCUCCCAAGUAGCUGGGAUUACAGGCAAGUGCCACCACCCCUGGCUAAUUUUGUAUUUUUAGUAGAGACAGGGUUUCUCCACGUUGAUCAGGCUGGUCUCGAACUCCUGACCUCAUGUGAUCCUCCCGCCUUGACCUCCCAAAGUGCUGGGAUUACAGGUGUGAGCCACUGUGCCCAGCCAAUUUUUUUAUUUUCUAAGUGUAAACACUUUGCUUGGCAUGAACCACACAGAAACACACUGGGACCUCAGCACACAUUCAAGGAUCAAAAUCAUCCUAGGGGAGAGCUCAGAAAAUAGGACACAAAAUAUGUUUGCGUAUGGAGAAAGGCCUACAGCUUUGAGGGCUGGAUGGUACCUAGCUUCAUCCAUUGGGGUCAAAACUGUUGACCUGUGUUGCCAGUAGCUUCCAUGAUGGUUUACUACAAGUACACAUUGAUAUGUGGGGCCAGGCAGAGGCAAGAGAGAAGAGUAAAAGGCAAGUGAAAGAUCUAGUUUCCCAUAUGUGUGUCAGGUUUCCAUAAAUGAGAUGGUUUAUGAAAGAGUCCCUAGACCUCAGGACCCAUCACUUAGCUUGAAGUCCUCUCAGUCCAGAGCUGCACCAGUCUUUCAAAUCAGCCAGUCCCAUCUUCCCUGGGCAAGGCCUGUGAACAGAAAAUUAAUUACAUUCAUGUCCCCAACAGAUACAUUGAAGGACUUCCACUCCACAUUGUGAGAAAAUGACAUAUUUUGAUAACCCAAUAAGUAUAGCAUGAGCCAAUAAGUCACAGCAGAAGGAGCAAUUUAGGAGAUUGUUUUUAAACAUGUGACUGAAUUAUUGAGAAAUGGAUAAUAAAUUUAUUUGCUAAUGUAGACAGAAAGGGAAAAAUCCACAUUGCUUUUUCAGCCCAUUACUGAACUAACUUCUGAGUUUCAAGACAUCUUUUUCUUUUCUAAAAGGUGACCAGGAACAUAGAUUUCUGGGCCAGUCUAACAGGAGCCCAAGGCACCCUUGGCCUAGGCCCCAGAUGGCCUCUCCUAAACACUUCACAGCCCUCAUAUACAGAAGCCCCAGUGCAGCAAUGAUUAGCCAACAAGCAGAAUGAUAAGGCAAAGUGAGGACACUUCCUCAAGACUUUUGGUUUUGGGGGCCUGCAAAUGUGAGAUACAGGCUUCAGAAGCAGCCUGAGGGCUCUGGGGCUUAAAGAAAAAGUUGGACAGUUAGCUCACCACUGACAAGCCCUACUCCCCUCUCCAUCCUCAUUUAACACUGGGCCUAGCUGGCUACUGCCUGCCUAAGGCGACAGGCAGUUAAGUUGUUUCCGAAUGGAACUUGUUGUUUCCAGGAAUCUGGUAGUAAAUCCUUCUUUGAAGGAAAAAAUACCCUAUAAUUCUGCACAUCCGCAUUGUGUCAGUUUUCUAUUUUCUCUCUGUGUAUUUUUAACUAUAUAAGUACUAUAUGGAUAUACUCCUGUAAUAACACAAUUGGUACAUAUAAUGUAAAAAGACUUUCUUGACCACUGCCUUCUCAUUCUAUUCCCCUCCCCAGAGACGACCACUAAGAUCAGUUUGCUCUAUAUCCCCCAAUGCCUUUUCCUAUUCUUGUUUCUUAUUCUUGCUUCCAUUCUUGUGUAUGUAUAUAUCUAAAUUUAUGACGUUGUUGGGUGGGAUUUUUCUUUUAUAGAAAUAGUGUCAAGCUACAUAUAGCAUAUUUUCCACUUGCAUUUUCUUCUUAACAAUGUGUCUUAGAGAUUUUUCAUGUCAGUAGAUACAGAGCUAUUUUAUUCUUUUUAAACAGAUAUGUAAUAUUCCCUAAUAGGGCUGAACCCUUCUUAUUCAGUUACCUUUGGUUGGGGAAGAGGUGGUGGAUUAGGUCAAUUUGAGGCAGCAAAGAGCAUUCUUGUCAUACCUUGUUGUGCAUACAGGUUGAGUAUCCCUUAGCUGAAAUGCUUGGGACUAGAAGUGUUUUGGAUUUUGGAUUUUUUGUCAGUUUUUUUGGAAUAUUUGCAUUAUUACCAGUUCAGCAUCCCUAACCUGGAAUCUGAAACGCUCCAAUUAGCAUUUCCUUUGAGCACCACGUUGGCACUCAAAAAGUUUCUGAUUGUGGAGCAUUUUGAUUUCAAAUUUUUGGACUAGGGAUGCUCAACUUGUAUUUUCAAACAUUUCCCUAGGCUAUAUAUGUAGAAGUAGAAUCGAUAUAAUGAAGAGAAAGCACACGUUAGAUUUUAAUAGAUAUAGCCAAAGUACAUUCCAAAAAGACUGUGCCAAUUUAUACUUCCCAACAGUAAACUAGAGUUUCCAUUUCUCUUCACUCUCAUUAACACUGGAUAUUCACCAUCUUUUUCCAUUUUGCCAAUCUGAUGGGUAAAAUAAUCUCACCUUUUCAAUUUGCUGGGUUUUGUUUGUUUGUUUUUGUUUGUUUCUUUGUUUUUUUGAGACAGAGUCUUGCACUAUCACCCAGUCUGGAGUGCAGUGGCGCGAUCCUGGCUGACUGCAACCUCCGUCUCCCAGGUUCAAGCGAUUCUCAUGCCUCAGCCACCCGAGUAGCUGAGAUUACAGGUGUGCGCCACCAUGCCUGGCUAAUUUUUUUGCACUUUUAGUAGAGAUGGGGUUUCACCAUGUUGGCCAGGCUGGUCUCACACUCCUGACCUUAAGUGAUCCACCCGCUUUGGCCUUCCAAAUUGCUGGAAUUACAGGCGUGAGACACCAUGCCCAGCCUCAAUUUGCAAUUCCAUGAUUACUACUGAAGUAUAUUUUCAAAAGCCUAGUGAGCUUUGAAGUGUCUAGUCUUAACUUGUCCACUUGCCCGUAUACACAAUAACAUCUUUUCCUUUUUCAGGUUAACCACUCAGGGGCUCAGUUUUGGUUUAUUAUCCUAAAACAUAUUUUAUCCAAUCCACCGUUGAUGGGCACUGGGAUUGAUUCCAUGUCUUUGCUAUUUGUGAACAGUGCUGUGAUGAACAUGAGAGUUCAUGUAUCUUUUUGGUAGAAUAAUUUGUUUUCUUUUGGAUACAUACCUAAUAAUGGGAUUGCUGAGCUGAAUGAUAGCUCUGUUUAAGUACUUUGAGAAACUGCAAAACUACUUUCCACAGUGGCUGGACAAAUUUACACGCUUACCAACAGUGUGUAAGCAUUCCCUUUUCUCCACAGCUUCACCAACAUCUGUUGUUUUUUGACUUUUUAAUAAUCACUAUUCUGACUGGUGUGAGAUGGUAUCUCAUUGUGGUUUUGAUUUACAUUUCUACGAUGAUGAGUGAUGAUAAGCAUUUUUACAUGUAGUUAUUGGCUGCUUGUAUGUCUUGUUUUGAGAAGCAUCUGUUCACAUCCUUUCCCCAUUUUUCAAUGGGGUCAUUUGGUUUUUGCUUGUUGAUUUGUCUAAGUUCCAUAUAGAUCCUGGAUAUUAGACCUUUGUUGGAUGCAUAGUUUGUGAAUAUAUUCUCCAAUUAUGUAGGUUGUCUGUUUACCCCAUUGAUAGCUUCUUUUGCUGUACAUAAGCUCUUUACUUAAACUUGGUCCCACUUGUCAACUUUUGUUUUUGUGGCAAUUGCUUUUGAGGACUUAGUCAUAAAUUCUUUCCCAUGGUCCAUGUCCAGAAUGGUGUUUCUGAGAUUUUCUUCUAGAAUUUUUAAUAGUUUCAAAUCUUACAUUUAAAUCUUUAGCCCAUCUCCAGUUAAUUUUUGUAGAUGGUGAAAAGUGGAGGUCCAAUUUCAUUCUUCUGCAUAUGGAUAGCCAGCUAUAUAUACCAACACCAUUUAUUGAACAGAGAGUUCUUUCCCCAUUGCUCAAUAAUAUGCUUUUAAACAGACUUUGGGUUUCCUACGGGUGGUUAACAUGCUUUACACUACUUUCUAAUUUUUCCCUACGAAUUUCCCAUUUUGGGGACAGUUGCCUUGACUAGAACUGAGGGACUUUGGGAUACACUGUUCUGAUUUUCCCUCUUUCACCAGAAUUUUGAACUUCAUUUUUCUAUGGCUGCCACACCAAUGUGACUUAUCCACAACCACUCUCUGUAUCCUUUCCUGUUUAUGUCUCAAAGCCAAAGUCAGUUUAUUUCCUUUUCCUGUGGUUUCUAAGACUACUUAUUUAAAGAAGCAAUCAUUCAUAGCCUCCAGAAAAAGCACCACUUCUCAGGGAUAUUAUUCAAAAUAUUUAAGAACCAUAUGGCCAAGACACAGACCAGUAGGACUGGAUGUCUGAAUAGGGCAAACACUGGUCUUAGCAUCAUGCUAACAUCAACUGGCUAAACACCACUCUUUCCUGCAAUUGCUUCUCCAUGACUUUGUCUGCCAAGCACUGUCUCUGCUAUCAAAUCACCUUUGUCCCCAAAACUUUAUUCAUUCAUUCAACACACAUUUACCAAGAGGCUCCAAAAUUCCUUAUAUUAAGACAUUGUGUUAGAGCAGGCCUUCUUGACCUCAGCACCACUGAAAUUUGGAGCAGGAUAAUUCCUGCUCCCUCGUUGGAGGGAGGGACAUUCCUUUGCAUUGCAGGAUUUUUAGCAGCAACCUUGGCCUCUAUCAGCAGCAUUAUAAUUAGUCAUGAUGAGCAUUUUUUUAAGUUUUAAUUUUUUAUUGUUUUUUAAUCCAAUUUUUUUUAAAUUUUUUUUAUUUCCAUAGGUUUUGGGGGAACAGGUGGUGUUUGGUUACACGAGUAAGUUCGUUAGCAGUGAUUUGUGAGAUUUUGGUGCACCCAUCACCCGAGUGGUAUACACUGCACCCUGUUUGUAGUCUUUUAUCCCUCACCCACCUCCCACCCUUUCCCCCUGAGUCCCCAAAGUCCAUUAUGUCAUUCUUAUGCCUUUGCAUCCUCAUAGCUUAGUUCCCCCUUAUGAGUGAGAACAUAGAGUGUUUGGUCUUCCAUUCCUGAGUUACUUCACUUAGAAUAAUAGUCUCCAAUCUCAUCCAGGUCACUGCAGAUGCCAUAAAUUCAUUCCUUUUUAUGGCUGAGUACUAUUCCAUCAUAUAUAUAUGUUUCUUUAUCCACUCGUUGACUGAUGGGCAUUUGGGUUGGUUCCAUGAUUUUGCAAUUGCGAAUUGUGCUGCUAUAUACAUGCAUGUGCAAGUAUCUUUUUCAUAAAAUGACUUCUUUUCCUCUGGGUAGAUACCCGGUAGUGGGAUUGUUGAAUCAAAUGGUAGUUCUACUCUUAGUUCUUUAAGGAAUCUCCACGCUGUUUUCCACAGUGGCUGUACUAGUUUACAUUCUCACCAGCAGUGUAGAAAUAUUCUCUGUUCACUGCAUCCACGCCAAAAUCUACUACUUUUUAAUUUUUUUGAUUAUGGCCAUUCUUGCGGGAGUAAGUUGGUAUUGCAUUGCGGUUUUGAUUUGCAUUUCCCUGAUCAUUAGUGAUGUUGAGGAUUUUUUUUUCAUAUGUUUGUUGACCAUUGUAUAUCUUCUUUUGAAAAUUGUCUAUUCAUGUCCUUAGCCCACUUUUUGAUGAGAUUGGUUUUUUUCUUGCUGAUUUUUUUGAAUUCAUUGUAGAUCCUAGAUAUUAGUCCUUUGUCAGAUGUAUAGAUUAUGAAGAUUUUCUCCCACUCUGUGGGUUGUCUGUUUACUCUACUGACUGUUCCUUUUGCUGUGCAAAAGCUCUUAGAUUAUUUAAGUCCCAGCUACUUAUCUUUGUUUUUAAUGCAUUUGCUUUUAGGUUCUUGGUCAUGAAAUCCUUGCCUAAGCCAAUGUCUAAAAGGGUCUUUCCAAUGUUAUCUUCUAGAAUUUUUAUAGUUAUAGUUUCAAGUUGAUUUUUGCAUAAGGUGAGAGAUGAGGAUCCAGGUUCAUUCUCCUAGAGGUGGCUAGCCAAUUAUCCCAGCACCACUUGUUAAAAAGAGCGUCAUUUCCUCACUUUAUGUUUUUGUUUGCUCUGUUGGCUGUAAGUAUUUGGGUUUAUUUCUAGGUUCUCCAUUCUGGUCUAUUGGUCUAUAUGCCUAUUUUUAUACAGUAUUAUGUCAUGCUGUUUUGGUGGCUAUGUCCACAUAGUAUGGUUUGAAAUCAGGUAACAUGUUGCCUCCAUAUUUGUUCUUUUUGCUUAGUCUUGCUUUGGCUAUGUAGGCUCUUUUUUUGUUCCAUAUGAAUUUUAGAAUUGUUUUUUCUAAUUCUGUGAAGAAUGAUGGUGGUAUUUUGAUGGGAAUUACAUUGAAUUUGUAGAUUGCUUUUGGCAGUAUGGACAUUUUCACAAUAUUGUUUCUACCCAUCCAUGAGCAUGGGAUGUGUUUCCAUUUAUUUGUGUCAUCUAUGAUUUCUUUCAACAGUGUUUUGUAGUUGUCCUUGUAGAGGUCUUUCACCUCUUUGGUUAGGUAUAUGCCUAAGGUUUGUUUUUUGUUUUGUUUUGUUUUGUUUUUAUUGCAGCUAUUGUCAAGGGGGUUGAGUUCUUGAUUUGAUUCUCAGCUUAGUCGCUGUUGGUGUACAGGAGAGCUACUGAUUUGUGUACAUUAAUUUUGUAUCCAGAAACAUUGCUGAAUUCUUUUAUCAGUUAUAGGAGCUUUCUGGAGGAAUCUUUAGGGUUUUCUAGGUAUACAAUCAUAUCAUCAGCAAACAGCAACAGUUUGACUUCCUCUUUACCGAUUUGGAUGCCCUUUAUUUCUUUCUCUUGUCUGAUUGCUCUGACUAGGACUUUCAGUACUAUGUUGAAGAGGAGUGGUGAGAGUGGGCAUCCUUGUCUUGUUCCAGUUCUCAGAGGGAAUGCCUUCAACUUUUCCCCAUUCAGUGAGUUAGUCAUAUAUGGCUUUUAUUACACUGAGAUAUGCCCCUUGUAUGCCAAUUUUGCUGAGAGUUUUAAUCAUAAAGGGAUGCUGGAUUUUGUUGAAUACUUUUUCUGCAUCUAUUGAAAUGAUCAUGUGAUUUUUGUUUUUAAUUCUGUUUAUGUGGUUUAUCUCAUUUAUUGACCUUGUGUAUGUUAAACCAUCCCUGCAUCCCUGGUAUGAAACCCAAUUGAUCAUGGUGGAUUACCUUUUUAAUAUGUUGUUGGAUUUGGUUAGCUAAUAUUUGUUAAGGAUUUUAACAUCUAUGUUUGUCAAGGAUAUUGGUCUGUAGUUUUCUUUUUUAUUGUGUGCUUUCCUGGUUUGGAUAUUAGGGUGAUACUGGCUUCAUAGAAUGAUUUAGAGAGGGUUCCCUUUUCCAUUACCUUGUGGAAUAGUGUCAAUACGAUUUGUACCCGUUGUUUGGAUGUCUGCUAGAAUUCUGUGGUGAAUCUGCCUGGGUCCUGAACUUUUUUUUGUUGGUAGGUUUUUAAUUACCAUUUCAAUCUUGCUGCUUGUUAUUGGUGUGUUCAGGGUAUCUAAUUCUUCCUGAUUUAAGCUAGGAGGGUUGUAUCUUUCCAGGAAUUUAUCCAGCUCUUCUAGGUUUUCUAGUUUAUGCACAUAGGUGUUUCACAGUAGUCUUGAAUGAUCUCUUGCAUUUCUGUGGUGUCAGUUGUAAUAUCUCCUGUUUCAUUUCUUAUUGAGCUUAUUUGGAUUUUCUCUCUUCUUUUCUUGGUUAAUCUUGCCAGUGGUCUAUCAAUUUUAUUUAUCUUUUCAAAGAACCAGCUUUUUGUUUCAUCUAUCUUUUGUAUUUUUUUUUGUUUCAAUUUCAUUUAGUUCUGCUCUGAUCUUGGUUAUUUCCUUUCUUCUGUUGGGUUUGGGUGUGGUGUGUUCUUGUUUCUCUAGUUCCUUGAGGUGUGACCUUAGAUUGUAUGUUUGUGCUCUUUCAGACUUUAUGAUGUAGGUGUUUAGGGCUAUGAACUUUUUUCUUAGUACAACCUUUGCUGUAUUCCAGAGGUUUUGAUAGGUUGUGUCACAAUUGUCAUAUAGUUCAAAGAAUUUUUUAAUUUCUAUCAUGAUUUCAUUUUUGACCAUAUGAUCAUUCAGGAGCAGGUUAUUUAAUUUCCAUGUAUUUGCAUGGUUUUAAAGGUUUCUUUUGGAGUUGAUUUCCAGUUUUAUUCCACUGUGGUCUAAGAGAGGGCUUGAUAUAAUUUGUUUUUAAUUUGUUGAGGCUCAUUUUUUGGCCUAUCAUAUAUCUAUCUUGGAGAAAGUUCCAUGCGCUAUUGAAUAGAACAUAUAUAUUCUGUGGUUGUUUGAUGGAAUGUUCUGAAUAUAUCUGUUCAGUCCAUUUGUUCCAGGGUAUAGUUUAAAUCCAUUGUUUCUUUGUUCACUUUUUGACUUGAUGACCUGUCUAGUACUAUCAGUGGAGUAUUGAAGUCCCCCACUGUUAUUGUGUUGCUGUCCAUCUCAUUUCUGAGGUCUAUUAGUAAUUGUUUUAUACAUUUGAGAGCUCCAGUGUUAAAUGCAUGUAUGUUUAGAAUUGUGAUAUUUUCUUGUUAGACAAGACCUUUUAUCAUUAUAUGAUGUCCCUCUUUGUUUUUUUUAACUGCUGUUGCUUUAAAUUUUGUUUUGUGUGAUAUAAGAAUAGCUACUCCUGCUCGCUUUUGAUGUCCAUUUGCAUGAAAUGUCUUUUCCCACCCCUUCACCUUAAGUUUAUGUGAGUCCUUACGUGUUAGGUGAGUCUCUUGAAGGCAGCAGAUAUUUGGUUGGUGAAUUCUUAUCCAUUCUGCAAUUCUGUAUCUUUUAAGUGGAGCAUUUAGGCCAUUUACCUUCAACAUUAGUAUUGAGAUGUGAGGUACCAUUGCAUUCAUCAUGGUAUUUGUUGCCUGUGUACCUUGUUUUUUGUUGUUGUUGUUUUUUGUUUUUGCUUUUUAACUUGCAUUUUUGUUUUAUAUACCCUGUGUGAUUUAUGCUUUAAAGAGGUUCUGUUUUGAUGUAUUUCCAGGAUUUAUUUCAAGAUUUGGAGCUCCUUUUAGCAGUUCUUGUAGUGGUGGCUUGGUACUGGCGAAUUUUCUCCACAUUUGUUUGUCUGAAAAAGACUAUCUUUCCUUCAUAUAUUACACUUAGUUUUGUUGAUACAAAAUUCUUGGCUGAUAAUUGUUUUGAGGAGGCUGAAGAUAUGGCCCCAAUCCCUUCUAGCUGUUAGGGUUUCUGCUGAGAAACCUGCUGUUAAUCUGAUAGGUUUUCCUUUAUAGGUUACCUGGUGCUUUUGUCUCACAGCUCUUUAGAUUCUUUCCUUCAUCUUAACUUUAGAUAACCUGACGACAAUGUGCCUAGGCAAUGAUCUUUUUGCAAUGAAUUUCCGAAGUGUUCUUUGUGCUUCUCAUAUUUGGAUAUCUAGGUCUCUAGUAAGGCCAGGGAAGUUUUUCUCGAUUACUCCCAGAAAUAUGUUUUCCAAACUUUUAGAUUUCUCUUCUCCUCAGGAAUGCUGAUUAUUCUUAGGUUUGGUUGUUUAACAUAAUUCCAGACCUCUUGGCAGGUUUGUUGAUAUUUUCUUAUUCUUUUUUCUUUGUCUUUAUUGGAUUGGAUUAGCUCAAAGACCUUGACUUUGAGCUCUGAAUCCCUUUCUUCUACUUGUUUGAUUCUAUUGCUGACACUUUCCUGAGCAUUUUGCAUUUCUAUAAGUGUGUCCAUUGUUUUCUGAAGUUUUUAUUGUUUUUUAUUUAUGCUAUCUAUUUCCUUGAAUAUUUCUCCUUUCAAUUCUUGUAUCCUUUUUUUUUUUUUUUUUAAUUUCCUUACAUUUGGCUUCACCUUUCUCUGGUGCCUCCCAGGUUAGCUUAAUAACUCACUUCCUGAAUUCUUUUUCAGGUAAGUCAGGGAUUCCUUCUUGGUUUGGAUCCAUUGCUGGUAAGCUAGUGUGAUUUUGGGGGGUUGUUAAAUAACCUUGUUUUGUCAUAUUACCAGAGUUGGUUUUCUGGUUCCUUCUCAUUUGGGUAGGCUCUGUCAGAGGGAAAGUCUAGGGCUGAAGGCUGUUGUUCAGAUUCUUAUGUCCCAUGGGGUGUUCUCUUGACAUAGUACUCUCCCCUUUUUCCUAUGCAUGUGGCUUCUUGAGAGCCAAGCUGUAGUGGUUGUUAUCUUUCUUCUGGAUCUACCCACCCAGCAAGUCUACCAGGCUCUGAGCUGGUACUGAAGGUUGUCUACACAGAGUCCUGUGAUGUGCACCAUCUGUGGUUCUCUCAGCCAUGGAUACCAGCACCUGUUCUGGUAGAGGUGUCAGGGGGGUGAAAUGGAUUCUGUGAUGGUUCUUAGCUUUGAUGGUUUAAUGCACUAUUUUUGUGCUAGUUGGCCUCCUGCUGGGAAGUGGGACUUUCCAGAGAGCAUCAGGUGUGGUAGUAUGGGGAGGAACAGGUGGUGAGUGUGGCCCUAGAACUCCCAAGAAUAUAUGCCCUUUGUCUUUAGUUACCAGGGUGGGUAGGAAAGGACUCUUGGGUCAGGGUAGAGCUAGGCAUGUCUGAGCUCAGAUUUUCCUUGGGCAGGUCUUAUUGCGGCUGCUGUGGAAGAUGGGGGUGAGAUUCCCAGGUCAAUGGAGUUAUAUUCCUAGGAGGAUUAUGGCUGUCUCUGCUGUGUCAUGCAGGCUGUCAGGGAAGUGGGAGAAAGUCAGCAGCCAAAGGCAUCACCCAGCUCCCACACAAUCCAAAGGGCUGGUCUCACUCCCACUGUGCCCCCGCAACAGCACCGAGUCUGUUUCCAGGCAGUGGGCGAGCAGGGCUGAUAACUUGCCCCAGCAUAUCUGCCUCCCAGCUGUGAAAGCAAGUAUGGCUUUCCUUCUUGCCCCACCUGUGGACACUGCUCACUGGAUUCAUGCCCUUUCCCAAGUUCUGACCAGGAGAUUUCUUGAUCAGUUCAAAUCAUUACAAAAUUCAGCUGGAGAUACCCUUCUCCCUGUGGUCUUUUCCCAGUGCCUUUGGCCAUCCUCCUGAAGGACCCCUGUGAGGCCAGGCAGAGAUGGCUUGUUAGGGAACCCAGCGAGCUCACAGGGCUUUUUCCGCUGCUUCCUUUACCCCUGUAUUUCACUCAUUUCUCUAAGUUGACUCAGCUCCAGGUAAGAUCAGAAUCUUCGGUAUUCUAGACCUUCAGUUUCCCCAGUGGGGGUGUGUGUUCAGGGGCAGAUGGUCUUUUUCCCACUUCCACAAUUUGGGCACUCACAGUAUUUGGGGUGUCUCUCGGGUCCUGCAGGAACAAUCUGCUUUCUUCAGAGGGUCUGUGGGUCCUUUCAGGUUUCCUGAUUUAUUCCUGCAGUCAUUCUGGAGCAAAAAUUCAUAAUGCAAGCCUCCAUAUGCUGCUCUGUCUGUCAGAAUCAGAACUGCAAUCUAGUUCUGUCUCCUGUCUGCCAUAAUCCUGAGCCUAUUACUCGGAUGAGCAUUUUUUCACAUGGUUCCUGGCUGCUUUUAUGUCUUCUUUUGAGAAGUGCCUAUUCGUGUCCUUCAUGUCCUUCAUGCAUGUACAUUUCCCCACUGAAGGAAUUUAAUAGCUCAGUAUUAUUUUAUUUUCAUCUCUAUCUGAUUCUAAAUAGACACAGGCUCUUCAUACUUUAGGUAUUGAUUAAUAUUUUGUGUAUAAAGCAACUAGCCCAGGUCUAAGUGCUCUUCAAGGAUUAUGUCAUUCAUUCAUCAUAACAAGCCUCUGAGGUAGGGGCUGUUAUAAUCUCAGCUUUAAAGAUGAGAGGACUGAGGUAUGGAGAGGUUAAUAUUCAUACCAAUAGCAUCCCUCCAAGUCAUGACAUCAUGAUGACAACCAAAAUGACUUCAGACAUUGCCAAGUAUCCCCCACAGGGGGUGAGGUGGUGAGGGGGAAAGACAAAAAUUCCUCCUGGUUGAGAGCCACCAUAUUAGAUGCUAAGGCAAUACAAGAGAAAAAGACAAGAUCUCUGCCCUUGGUGAGAUUACAGUCUCACUUAACAUUUCAUUUAAUACACUGGUCAGGUAGCCUAAUGUGUUUUUGUUGUUAGAGUUGUAUAACUUAAGUAUUCAAUCUUCACCCAAUGUCAUAUAGAAGCAUCUUUACCUUAAUAAUCUUGGUCCUAAGAGUAAGAAAUGCUGGUAAUGAAAAAAUGGGUCAAUGUUUAUAAGCUUCAUAAAUAGAAAAGAAAUCACAAUUGCAGCUUUUUAAUGCAAUGGCCGCGUGUUAAGGAAAUGUGGAUAAAUGCAUGUACAUUUCCCUACUGACAGAAUUUAAUAGCUCAGAAUCAUUUUAUUUUCAUCUCUAUCUGAUUCUAAAUAGAUACAAGCUCCUCAUACUUUAGGUAUUGAUUAAUAUUUUGUGUAUAAAGCAACUAGCCCAGUUCUAAGUGCUUUUCAAGAAUUAUUCAUUCUUUAUAACAAGGCUGUGAGGUAGGGGCUGUUACAAUCUCAGUUUUUAAGAUGAGGAAACUGAGAUGUGGAGAGGUUAAGUAAGUGGCCCAAGAUCACACACCAUUUAGUGGUGGACCCAGAGCCCAAAUCCUCAAUGACUACACAGCACUGCUUCAAUGAAGAGAAAGAAUUAUGAGGAAGAGGAAGGGAAAUAAGUGAUCAAGCUUGUCUCCUGCCUCUCCCAAUUCAGUCAAAUGUGGUCCCAGUGGCAUGAGAAAGUUGUUCCCUAUUGGAAAUGCCCCAAACCACUUUGGAACUUGAUUCUGACCCCUCAGCAUCAGGUGCCACAGACCCAAGGUCAAGUGCCACUGGUGGGUCAUAAAGUUGUGUUCCCAGAGGGGAUAUGAAGUCAGUAAGAACUAAUAGCCUUGUUCAAGGUCAGAGACGCAAGAGAAUAAAGUCCAAAUUCUUUAACAGUAUUGCACUAUCCAUUCACGGCCCUAUGUGCCAAAGAAACAAAACCACUUGCUGAGGAAGAGGAUGCUCAGGUUCAGAAGAGCAGGAAACCCAGAAGCCAGAAUAAUAAACUAUUAGUGAGAAAAUCCACCCAAGGUUAGUCUUUAGAUAGAAGCUCUGAAUGGUCCUCCACCAAAGAGAGGCAUCUCCACUGAAUAGUGAAUACUUGCAGGUUUCUCUUCCUUAUUCUUUUUGAUUCUGCAAUACAGAAUCUUUGAUGACUUUAUUUUCAUUGCUUGCCAAAUCCACAAAAGUUCACUAUGCUAGGUAAGAAAAAAAAAUAGUCAGUUUUCCUAUAACAUGACAUAUUCUUUAAAAAUUACUCUAAUUUGGAAAAUUAUACAUUAAAAAGUGCAUGGCUUAUGAGGAAAAUGGGGUUAGGGGAAUAACAGUAAAAACAUCAGUGACACAUUUAAAACCAGAGAGUAAUGGCAGGACAGUUUUACAUGUGUUAAUGGUUAAGAAAUACAUAAACUAUACAAUAAGUAUGGCACUUUGCCUUGGAAAGACCUAAAGUUUGUUUGUGGACAUGGGCGUUGCAGUUUGUGGGUUAUUGUGAAGUGAUGGAAAGAGGGUUGUCUGAAAUCAGAUGGAAAGUUAUAACACUAAAUGUGGAUGGGUGUGGUUGAUAGAUGUUUGAGGCAUGUGUUUUAUGUAUUACCACACAGCUCGGUUGAACUAGGUGUAAUUUUCUGCGUUCACCUGGUGUUUCUUGCUGAUGGAAUCAUGCUCAAGCAAACACGAAAUUCAUGUCAUGCAUGCUCAAAUUGUUCCCUGAUACAUCAAUCACAUUGGAACAAAUUCACAUUUUCAAAAGAGACAUUAUAGCAGAACUGACUUACAGUGCCUUAGCUAGUAAGAAGAUGGAAGACAGUGGCAGAAUGGAGGAUUAUCAAGGACAAUCAGCCUCUAAUGAAAUCUCCAGGCCACCUUCCCAUGCUACUGUGAAGGCAUACACCUACAACUAAUAAAAAUUGUUUUUUGCCCCCUCCCCUCUCCCCUCUCCCCUCUCCCCUCUUUCCACGGUCUCCCUCUCCCUCUCUCUCCCCCCAUGGUCUCCCUCUCCCUCUCUUUCCACGGUCUCCCUCUGAUGCCGAGCCGAAGCUGGACGGUACUGCUGCCAUCUCAGCUCACUGCAACCUCCCUGCCCGAUUCUCCUGCCUCAGCCUGCCGAGUGCCUGCGAUUGCAGGCCCGCGCCGCCACGCCUGACUGGUUUUCGUAUUUUUUUGGUGGAGACGGGGUUUCGAUGUGUUGGCUGGGCUGGUCUCCAGCUCCUAACCGCGAGUGAUCCGCCAGCCUCGGCCUCCCGAGGUGCCGGGAUUGCAGACGGAGUCUCGUUAACUCAGUGCUCAAUGGCGCCCAGGCUGGAGUGCAGUGGCGUGAUCUCGGCUCGCUACAACCACCUCCCAGCCGCCUGCCUUGGCCUCCCUAAGUGCCGAGAUUGCAGCCUCUGCCUGGCAGCCACCCCGUCUGGGAAGUGAGGAGCGUCUCCGCCUGACCGCCCAUCGUCUGGGAUGUGAGGAGCCCCUCUGCCUGGCUGCCCAGUCUGGAAAGUGAGGAGCGUCUCUGCCCGGCCGCCAUCCCAUCUAGGAAGUGAGGAGCGCCUCUUCCCGGCUGCCAUCACAUCUGGGAAGUGAGGAGCGUCUCUGCCCGGCCGCCCAUCAUCUGAGAUGUGGGGAGCACCUCUGCCCUGCCGCCCCAUCCGGGAUGUGAGGAGCGUCUCUGCCCGGCCGCCCUGUCUGAGAAGUGAGGAGACCCUCUGCCUGGCAACCGCCCCGUCUGAGAAGUGAGGAGCCCCUCCACCCGGCAGCCACCCCGUCUGAGAAGUGAGGAGCGUCCUCCCUCCUUGUCCGGGAGGGAGGUGGGGGGGUCAGCCCCCCGCCCGGCCAGCCACCCCGUCCGGGAGGUGAGGGGCGCCUCUGCCCGGCCGCCCCUACCGGGAAGUGAGGAGCCCCUCUGCCCGGCCAGCCGCCUCAUCUGGGAGGGAGGUGGGGGGGUCAGCCCCCCGCCUGGCCAGCUGCCCCGUCCGGGAGGCGAGGGGUGCCUCUGCCUGGCCGCCCCUACUGGGAAGUGAGGAGCCCCUCUGCCCGGCCAGCCGCCCCA